UCUCUGACCUGAAAGACUUUGGGCGCGCUCACUAGAGACGCAAGAGCUGAGGAGAGCGUGGCCGAAAACGUUCCUGCAGUGAUGAGAGGUCCAAACCCAGACACUAGAGUCAUUACCUACACAAACACACACACCGAUCACACCUGGAAGUUGUUCAUGAGGCCGUAGUUGCAUUUGGUGGUCUGGCAGAUUGAGAAGUCGUAGCCCAGAUUGCAGGCCGAAGAGAAGUUGCAACUGGAACCCACUGGAAUAGUGUCGUUGCGGUUCCCCGUCGCAUCUCGAACGACCGUGACGGCUGCCAAGAAUCAGUGCAAUCACUCUGUUAGAUGUCCAGACUGAGACUGGAGAGAGUAAUUACAAGUGUGCGUUCAGGACUCACAAACAACCAGUGCGAUGCCCAGAUCGCCAGAGAUGUUGGCUCCAGCAAGGAUCCCAGUGGCUGCCGGGAAAAAGAUGGCAAAAACAGAGAAGAACGUUUCUCCAUCCCGGAAUUCUGUUAAAGAAGCCUUUGGAACGCUUGUCUUUGGUGGAGGGAAUCACUGUUCCCACAAAUACAUUGCCAAUGGCCACCAGCAGGAUCACCAACAGACCGACCUGAGCCUAUAGAGAGAGAAGGUUCUUCAACUGCU